rnacentral:rRNA from 1 species
GUUAGGAAUAUUGGACAAUGGGCGCAAGCCUGAUCCAGCCAUGCCGCGUGAGUGAUGAAGGCCUUCGGGUUGUAAAGCUCUUUAGUCCACGAAUAUAAUGACUGUAGUGGAAGAAUAAGCCCCGGCUAACUUCGUGCCAGCAGCCGCGGUAAUACGAAGGGGGCGAGCGUUAUUCGGAAUCACUGGGCGUAAAGCGUGCGUAGGCGGCUUUGCAAGUUGGGAGUGAAAGCCCAGGGCUCAACCCUGGAAUUGCUCUCAAAACUGCAAGGCUCGAAUUCGGGAGAGGAUAGCGGAAUUGUCAGUGUAGCAGUGAAAUGCGUAGAUAUUGACAGGAACACCAGUGGCGUAAGCGGCUAUCUGGACCGAUAUUGACGCUGAGGCACGAAAGCGUGGGGAUCAAACAGGAUUAGAUACCCUUGUAGUCC